AUGAAGAAUAAUUAUUUUAUGAACAUGCUGUCACCAAGCUCACACAUCUUCCUGGCCCGCAAUAUAUUGCACCACUACAACGUAGCACGGAACUCAAAGGCAAUAGAAGAGCACCAGAAGUUUGUGGGCAAAGAUCUUACAUUCCAUCUUGAUUGGAAUGGAAGGAUAGUGUUGGCACCACUGAGACCUUCUGAGGCAGACAUGAAGAAAGGAUGUGUAUGUGUAAGUCCAUUGCCAAUUUGUUCCAAAUCAAAGCUCUUAUUCAUCAUUGUAUUGAGUGAUUCAAAACUUGACUUAACUGUUUGUCAUUGUGCUCCAUGUGCUCAGGUGUCUAAUAAAAUAUUCAAACUUGGCAUGAUGUUAAUGAGUGAAAAUUAUAUAAUUUCAAGAGGCUGUACUAAUACCCAGCAAGUGUGCAGUUCGGUGGCAUAGUGGUUAACAACAAUCAACAGAUGCUAUUGCGGGCCGGCUGAACUACGCUUGCCUGGUUUCUUGUUCUAUAGUCUCAGAAGAUGUGUGUAUAACAUUCCUCAGGGGAAGAACAUCUACAUUGCCAAUUUGUAUGUUGUCCCAACAUGAAGUCUGCUUUGUACGUAGCGCUGGAUGCACCAUCUAACUACAAAAUUGUGAGUAGUUUUAGUCUUACUAUAAAAUACUAUUACUAUGGUAUGGAAUAAACUAUUUCAAAUACUGGGACAAUUUGCAUUUAGGGAGACAUUCCUGCUUUGCGCAAAUGGUGGUGCCCAUUGCUAAUGGAGAACUUUGCAAUGGGCAGGUAUGAUUUCAUUUAAUUUGCUUAAAGACAGACAUUAAGUGCUCUAUGGGGAAAGGUAAUUGAGUUAGGUUGUUAUAUUACUUUGAAGUUGAAGUUCAAUCUUUGUAGGCACGGAAAGUGUGGAGUGACCCAACAAAAGCUCUCCUGAGAGGUGAACUGGUCACAGUCUUUAACCUAAGAAAACACAUGUUUUCUGAGGUCGACAUGGUAAGUUUGUGCAAAGUUUAGGUUGAACACAAUAAAAUAUAUAUAUAUAUAUUUCAAGAUUUUCAAGUAAUCGAAAAGUAAUAACCAGGAGCUUAAAACCAGCAAAACCAAAGCACUGCGCUGGUCUGGUUUAAUCUAAGACAGGUUAAUAUGUGGAAUGAUUGUGUUGCCUCAGACUUGCAGUGAUGAGGUGCAGGGAUCCUCCUCCAUCCAGCCUUUAGAGGACCCAAACAAAACCAUGGCUCCCCUGUCUGUUACCCUGCAGCCGCUAUUAAGUCUGAAUCGGUGAGUCAGAGCAUUAAACUGCAGGUGUGUCAGUAGUUUCUUUCACACUCUCUAGCUUCCUGUUUCAGUAACAAUGCCAGAGGUCUCUCUCCUCUGACAUUUUAAAUGGAUUUUAUAGAGGAGACUGUACAUAAUCUGAUUUCAUAAAUCUGUGCUCAAUUCCAAGGUGGAUCUUCUCAGUGAGGAUGAUGACAAAUGUUAUCUCCUCUAGGUAGUAAGUUAGCUAGUUUAAAAAAAACUGAAAAGCAUUUAUAGUAAAUCAUUACCUGCUCCCUUUCUUAAACCUUUGUGUGCAAUGUGCUUCACAGGUUUCAACUAAAAUAAUUGCCCAUAUCCUGACAGAGGUUGUUCUGGGAGGAGACUGUGCUUACAUGUCUUUGUCUCUGGUUUGCACGCGGUUCGGGGACAUUGUAGGCACUCUUGAGUUUCAAGCAUGGGCUCACUUCUUAUGGCUUGACAGUGAGACAUUAUUUUUAUUUUGACAGUAAGACAACCAAUAAGAACAUGAAGUUAAUCUUGUACUGUGUAGUUGUUGCACAUUUUCCAUAGCAUGGGAAGUGGGUUGUGGAGAUGGCGUUAGGUGUUUAGUACAUCAACAUUAACUUUGUAUUUCUACACAGGUGUUAUCACAUUGAAUUUCUAUACAGAAAAAUACCGUUCAGAAUUCAGAACCAUGUGCAGCAUUUGCAACAUGCCUUACAAAGACUGCAAAUCGGGUUGGUAUAGUACUGUAUCUGUUAUUAUUAUGUACAUUUGUUAAUCAUUUAAAGUGGAAGUACUACAAAAUUGUUGGUUACAGCAUGAAUGUACUACAUGUACGAAAAAUUGCUAAUAAUUAUAAUGUACGGUCCUUCUCACAAGGUAGGUUGGAGAUGGGGAAUCCUGCGGGAUUUUAUUCUGAUUCCCAUCUAGGAUUCUGCAGCACAUGCUGUGCCCUGUGUGCCGAGUUCUAAAAAGACUAAUAAAGUGACGUUUGUCUGCUGAAACAGGCCAUCAGUCUGCAGUCCAUUUGUUUUGCCAGCUAGCCUGCAUUACUCUGCUUAAUUUCAAAUUGUGUUGUUCUGGGAGUGUUAAUGGGGUCAUCUGCCUUGCCUAGUUAUCGCCCCCUAUUCCUACAACAUUCCUAUUAUAUUAGGAUUUUGGGUAAAGGAAUAUUUAGUUUAGUAUUGUUGACCACAGACUGUAGCAAUUUAAUUGUUUGUCAGAAUCCUAAUGGUGAUCUUUGGUGCCAUUAGAUGAGUCUAAACCUGAGAUUUUUAAAAUGUUGCAAAGCACAAUUCCAA
ensembl:lncRNA